rnacentral:rRNA from 1 species
UACGAAGGGAGCUAGCGUUGUUCGGAAUCACUGGGCGUAAAGCGCACGUAGGCGGAUUUGUCAGUCAGGGGUGAAAUCCCGGGGCUCAACCUCGGAACUGCCUUUGAUACAGCAAGUCUUGAGUUCGAGAGAGGUGGGUGGAAUUCCGUAGUGUAGAGGUGAAAUUCGUAGAUAUUAGGAAGAACACCGGUGGCGAAGGCGGCCCACUGGCUCGAUACUGACGCUGAGGUGCGAAAGCGUGGGGAGCAAACAGG